rnacentral:rRNA from 1 species
UACGUAGGGGGGCAAGCGUUGUCCGGAAUCAUUGGGCGUAAAGCGCGUGUAGGCGGCCCGGUAAGUCCGCUGUGAAAGUCGGGGGCUCAACCCUCGAAUGCCGGUGGAUACUGUCGGGCUAGAGUGCGGAAGAGGCGAGUGGAAUUCCUGGUGUAGCGGUGAAAUGCGCAGAUAUCAGGAGGAACACCAAUUGCGAAGGCAGCUCGCUGGGACGUGACUGACGCUGAGACGCGAAAAGCGUGGGGGAGCAAACAGG